CCGGAGGGAGGGAGGCGGGCAGAGGAGGGGAGAUGGGCACCCCCAGUUUUUCCAUCCUCCUCAUUCGUCUAGGGGCACCCGAAUCCCCUAUUCCUUAUUUCCCCUAUCACUCAGGCACUGGCAGGGUCCUUUUCCCACUCCUGUUGGCCGCCGCGGCUCCAAAGCGAGCUGGGCAGAUGUGCCUGAGACAGGUUUGACCAGGCAACUGAAAAUAUAUCCCUAAGAGAAGACAAAACAAAGAUAUGAAAGGAACACACUUCCCUGACUGACUAGGAGGAACAGAGCUGCCUGCUGACUGGAACCGCUUCCUCCCAGACUAAGGAGGCUGACCUCUGCAGACUGUGUCACCUGGGCCCCCUGAUCUCUCGGCCAAUAGAGGUCCCAGCUGAGAACGGGGAGAGAGGAGUCAGGGGUUUCCCAGAGGAAGAGAGAGAAUUUGGACAAAUGAAUGAGGAACAACGCUCUCCUGAGGGUUUUCUUUAAGGGGCAAGGAUCAAUGCCUCUAGAUCCUUUGAAAGCAGAGUUAAGAGGCAGUGCAGGAAGGCACAGCAGGAAGGUUCAUGGUUAGACUACAGAGAAGGAAGCAGCCACUGCUGGGGACCUACCCUGUGCUGGUCACUGACAAGCUGUCUCAUUAAACCUUCCCGGACCCUCA
rnacentral:lncRNA from 1 species